rnacentral:lncRNA from 1 species
AUGGCCAUCAUCGUAGCCGCCACCGCGGCCUCUGAACUCGAGGAGUUCAGAUCUUGUGCUCACGAGAGGUGGCAGCGACUGCAUCCAAAGGGGAAGGGGGAGAAGAAUCUGUCAUAUUUGGCUAUCGGUGGUUGGAUCCGCCCAAAAGGCGGUUCGGGGUGUUCAGAUCCCAAGGCCAUCCCAGCGCUGGCUGCGGAGGCAGAGAAUGGGUCUAUGAUGCUGUGGAGUUGUGCCCCUCCAAAGCUCGUCACUAUCCACGCCAGAGGAGAGGUCAACAGCUGCACAACCACGGAUGCUUCCAUCACCGGUCCCCAUGGUGGAUGGCCAAAUCUAGCUACCAUGAACUCCGGGAAAAGCUUGAUCCCGCAAUGGUCGGCCCGAGAGUGGAGAUGGAGGUGGCAGCCGGCACUCCGUGGCAAAAAAAUGCAGCCUUGUAGCGCCCGUUCCGUCGUGGCGCCUAGCGGGAAAAUUAUCUCCGAAAAACCCUAAUUGCGAAAUU